UACGUAGGGUGCAAGCGUUAAUCGGAAUUACUGGGCGUAAAGCGUGCGCAGGCGGUUUUGUAAGUCUGACGUGAAAUCCCCCGGGCUCAACCUGGGAAUUGCGUUGGAGACUGCAAGGCUGGAGUCUGGCAGAGGGGGGGGUAGAAUUCCACGUGUAGCAGUGAAAUGCGUAGAGAUGUGGAGGAACACCGAUGGCGAAGGCAGCCCCCCUGGGUCAAGACUGACGCUCAUGCACGAAAGCGUGGGGAGCAAACAGG
rnacentral:rRNA from 1 species